rnacentral:rRNA from 1 species
GACGAACCGAGCGAACGUUAUUCGGAAUCACUGGGCUUAAAGGGCGCGUAGGCGGGCGGUCAAGUCAGGGGUGAAAGCCCCCAGCUCAACUGGGGAAGUGCCUCUGAUACUGGCCAUCUCGAGGGAGGUAGGGGCGUGCGGAACUUCCGGUGGAGCGGUGAAAUGCGUAGAUAUCGGAAGGAACACCGGUGGCGAAAGCGGCGCGCUGGACCUCUUCUGACGCUGAGGCGCGAAAGCCAGGGGAGCAAACGGG